rnacentral:rRNA from 1 species
CUUCAUUUAUAUGGAUAACCGUAGUAAUUCUGCAGCUAAUACAUGCGUUAUGUUGGGACUCUAUGGAACCUCAGUAUUAAAUCGUGCUUUAGAACCAUCCUUCGGGAUUGUGGUGAACAUGUUAACUGGUCGAAAUCGCUGGGUUGUACCCGCGAUAUCACUUCCAAGUUUCUGACCCAUCAGCUUGAUGGUAGUGUAUUGGACAACCAUGGCAUCCACGGGUAAACGGGGAAUUUGGGUUCGAUUCCGGAGAGGGAGCCUGGUAAACGGCUACCACUUCUACGGAAGGCAGCAGGCGCGUAAAUUAUCCAAUCCUGACUUAGGGAGAUGGUGACAAGAAAUAAUGAACUGGGAUUUAUCCCGGGGUUACAAUGGGCUUGAUUUGCAAACUUUUAUUUAGCGAGGAACAAUUGGAGGGCAAGUCUGGUGCCAGCAGCCGCGGUAAUUCCAGCUCCAAUAGUGUAUAUUAAUUCUGCUGCAGUUAUUCAAAGCUCGUAGUUGGACUUCUGAAUGUGGAGACAGGCGGGUGGCUACGGCUGCUGCCGGUCGCCUCAUUCAUCCUUCUGUUAACGUUGUUCGGGAUUGAGUUUUCGACUUCGGGCUCAGACGUUUUUACCUUUCUUCUAUCUCUUUCGAGCAAAUUAUAGUGUUUCAGGCAGGCGUGCGCCGGAAUACAUUAGCAUGGAAUAAUCGAUUGGACCAUGUAUUUCCCUUUGUAUUGGUUCACGAAGGGCGUGGUAAUGAUUAAUAGGAAUAGUUCGAAACGGGGGCCAAAGUAUUUAGCAUCUAGAGGUGAAAUUCUUUGAAAUUCGUAAAGACUAACGUAUGCGAAAGCAUUUGCCAUUUAUAUUUCUCCUUGUUAAUCAAGAGCGAAAGUUAGGGGAUCAAAGACGAUCAGAUACCGUCCUAGUCUUAACCAUAAACUUUGCCGACUAGGGAUCGGGGGACGUGCACAUUCCGCCUCCGGCACCUUACGAGAAAUCAAAGUCUUUUGGGUUCUGGGGGUAGUAUGGUCGCMAGGCUGAAACUUAAAGGAAUU